CCUGAGAAACCCAAAAGAUCGAAUGGGGAGACUCAACGAUUGCGAUCCUGGCGCUCGUGCGGUUCGCGAUGCUGCGCGACCUCGGUUGCGCGGCACGCGUCCGUAUGUUCAUUCGCCGGGUGUCGCCGUCGUGCACUUCUCCCCUAGUAGGACGUCGCGACCCGUUGGGUGUCGGUCUACGGCCCGGGUGGGAGACUGUCGUUUGUUACGCUUCGCGGCGUCAUGCGGCAGACCCCCGGUCGCCCGACCAGCUGCCCGGCGGUACUCGCACGGUAUCGGGCCGCAAAUAUUCGAACUGCGUCGGGCCCGUCGCAAGCUUGGCCAGUGAUCAACCCGGAUGUACGGACCUAGCGCCGUCGCCGGGCCUGGCCGGCUGUUGGCUGACGGUGUCACUAAGACAGGCUCAUUCGA
rnacentral:rRNA from 2 species